GCCUACCUAUUUGGCUUUCACUAGAGUUCAGAUACAUAAAACAAAUAUCUUUGCUUUGGCUUCCCUUGAGUCAUAUCAAUCUACACCUCAUCAAGAAUAUGAAGUUUGGAAGAACAAAGAAGCAAUUGAGCAUCCUAAACUCAACGUAGGGCAAGUAACAUGGACAUUGAUACACCAAGUUCCUUCUUGUUUUUCCUUGAAAGUUGGCUUGAUGAAUGUAUUCUGCAG
rnacentral:lncRNA from 1 species